rnacentral:rRNA from 1 species
UACAGAGGGUGCAAACGUUGCUCGGAAUCAUUGGGCGUAAAGCGCACGUAGGCGGCUCAGCAAGCGGGGAGUGAAAGCCCUCGGCUUAACCGAGGAAGUGCUUUCCGAACUACUGAGCUUGAAUACCGGAGAGGAUCGCGGAAUUCCCGGUGUAGAGGUGAAAUUCGUAGAUAUCGGGAGGAACGCCAGUGGCGAAGGCGGCGAUCUGGACGGAUAUUGACGCUGAGGUGCGAAAGCGUGGGGAGCAAACAGGAUUAGAUACCCCGAGUAGU